AGCACAACUGUGGUCCAAGUUCAAGCUGGAGGCAGAACUUACCAUUGUCCAUGCAAUGCUGAUUCUGCAGGAAAAAAAACGAGGUCCAAAUGGUGCAUUCUUCCACUGACCUACCAAAAUCUCCUGCUAAGACAAGGAAUGCCAAGCUCUGUCUUAUUUUGUUUUUGACAAUGUGGCCAGAACAGAUCUGACAGAUCUUGGGAAUGCCAUGUGUUCUUCUUAGUCGGGUUCUAGUCCCAAAUGGUCCUGUGCUCAUCCUUGGCCGAGACCUGGAAUUAGACAUCACAGAAAUGCUUGUUGGGCUCAAGCCGUAACAGCAGUUUCUCAGAUUCUUUUUUACAGUCAUGUCCUAUCAAGCAUUUUCCAUCCUUAGAUCACUCAGAAUCACAGAUUUGAAAAGAAGUUGAUUUAUGCCUCCCUGGUAGCUUAGAACUGUGCUUCCGAGCCCCAGGAGGCGUGGUUCAAGGGUUUUCUUUCUCCCUUUUCUGCAGUAGUCAUUUACAUAUCAUGGUAUAUACACAUCAGGAAGCUGACCCAAGUGGUUCAUUAAAAAGUUUCCACUAUGUAGCAAGUUACCUAAGAUUUAGAAAACAUAUGUGAUUUCCUAUAUGUACCAAUAUAUUUAACAGUAAAUUAUUUCCAUUCUCAAAUGUU
rnacentral:lncRNA from 1 species